rnacentral:rRNA from 1 species
AUUGAACGCUGGCGGCAUGCCUUACACAUGCAAGUCGAACGGCAGCACGGGGGCAACCCUGGUGGCGAGUGGCGAACGGGUGAGUAAUGCAUCGGAACGUACCCGGAAGUGGGGGAUAACGUAGCGAAAGUUACGCUAAUACCGCAUAUUCUGUGAGCAGGAAAGUGGGGGACCGCAAGGCCUCACGCUUUCGGAGCGGCCGAUGUCGGAUUAGCUAGUUGGCGGGGUAAAGGCCCACCAAGACGACGAUCCGUAGCGGGUCUGAGAGGAUGAUCCGCCACACUGGGACUGAGACACGGCCCAGACUCCUACGGGAGGCAGCAGUGGGGAAUUUUGGACAAUGGGCGCAAGCCUGAUCCAGCCAUGCCGCGUGAGUGAAGAAGGCCUUCGGGUUGUAAAGCUCUUUCGGCGGGGAAGAAAUUACUUAGGUUAAUACCUUGAGUAGAUGACGGUACCCGCAUAAGAAGCACCGGCUAACUACGUGCCAGCAGCCGCAGUAACAC